rnacentral:snRNA from 1 species
UUAUCUUAUGAGUAAGGAAAAUAUCGAUUCAUGGUGACAUCCCAAUCCUAACUGCUAAAUGUGAGAUUUAUUUUUGAGCUGGUAAAAGGUUGCCCCUAAGGUUGCCACCUGCCUGCUUUGUGGGAUGCCUGGAAGUCCCGAUCUGCCCA